GUAUAACCUUUAGGUCUAGUAGCACAUUGAUUUCGGAGUACUGGCUACCUCUCUCGGAAAAAGCCAGUUCUUUUAUGCUCACAUUUAGAAGCAAUAAAAACAGCUGGCCUUCAGAGUUCUGUGUUAGGAGACAGAAAAGUAUGAAGAAGUCAGCACUGCCCGUGCAGGCUAUCCAUGAUGGUGCUUCUGCUGCAAAGUGUAACAUUCCUUCACUCAGUAUGAUGGGAUGCGAAGGGAAGGAAAUGAAAAUGCUGAUUGUCCUCUUCAGAGAUGGAGCUUCAAAGCAAUUAUCAGGAGUUUUCCAAGUCCUCGUUAAUGGGAAGUGCAGUCUCCACAUCAGCUGUUUCCAACAGAAGGACUUUCACAAGCCUUAAAUGGAGUUACCUCCCCUGCAUCAAUGGAAGUGAAAGGAGAAUUUUGUUCCCUGAUCUGUUAUGAACAUAUAAUCAAACAAAGAAUUUGGCUGCGGGCCUUUUUGACGGCAUUUUAUAUUAUACUUUAUUAGAAGGAGUCACGAGUUGAAAUGAAUAAUUCUGCCUGAGGGAGGAAAUUGGGUACAUACAGUGUGCAGAUACAAGCCUAGUUCUGAAAAUUCACAAACCCAUCAGAACCGAUGGCACCAUCUUAUUUCUUAAAUCCAAAGAAGAACACCACUCCGUACUCCUGUUGUACUGAAUCCAUCCGGAGUUCUCUACCGCUUGGUAUGUAAAGCUGUGCUUUGAGGAGGGAAGGCAGAGCAAACCACAGAGCUUCAGAGAAACCAGAUGCACACAUAAAGCAAGAAGUGGAGGUCAUGAAAAAAUGCCAGAAUUUUGUGAAGGAAGAAGAAGGCACACUGUGCCAACCACAGCCAACCACAGGAAAAAAAAAAUGGAAGGCAGAAAAAAGUAAUGGGAAUAGAUACAAACCCUUGCUAAGCCUACUGGAAUAUGGACUUCAAUAACAAGAGUUUCAUUUAGAACAGAGAUGGGUUGUAAAACAACAGCAUCUAGUGAGUAAUCUGCUGGUCUGUGAAGCCAUCCCUCUCCAUUAGGCACUCCUAAAAGCAAGCUGUCAUCUAACAUCAAAAGCCUUGCCCUGACUUUGCACCUUUUAAGCCCUCAAAUGAGCACUGAAGCCCACAGAAGUUUUAUGCAGGCUUUCUGCAGCCUGGUGCUGGUCAGCCCGGACCACAGGGCCAACAUUUUUCUCAGCAAUACUGGUUCUCCAUAGCAGGAUUGUUCAGGCUGGAUGAGAGCAUGAGUCACCUGGAGUUGGGAUCAUCAUGUUCUUUCAAAGAAAAAGAGGGUUUGUUCUCUAUGUGAAAACAUCCAGUGGCUGGAUAUAGCCUCUCUGCACGGGGACACAGUCCAGCUAGAUACUCUGUGUUGCCCUUUAGAGAAUAGAGAAGAUGAUGGUUAAGGUUGUAGAAAUGCUAGCACAUGGAAUCACUUUUCAUAACCUGAAUAAAUAAUUUUCAGAGCAAGCAUUGUUCUUUCUCUUUUGUACACUUUGGCUGGCAGUGGAGAGGAGUUUUAAAUAGAAAAGAAAGUACAGUGAACAGUAUGACUUUAUGAGUUUCCUCAGUCUCAGGAAGGAAGCAGAAGGUGCCGAAUUAAACAAACAUCUGCCCUGGCAAAUAGCAAACAAUGUGUUUGUCUAGCAAACUGAACAAACAGGACUUGGAAGUCUGAGAGAGGGGAGGAUGAGACAGAGGAAGCCAAGAUGGCCAUUUUGCCAAAUGACAUUUUUUCACGCGCCAGCAGUCAGUGUUGUAAUUAUGAGAAACUCUGGGGAACUGAGGAGUCUGAAUCCUCAUUGCUUUAGAGCAUUGCCAAUAAGAUAUAAAAAUUGCUAACAUAGUGAAAGCAUUCAUCUGCAGUGGGGUUUGGUAUGCCUUUAACCAGCAAAACGUCUAUUAUGCAAAAGAAAAUUCAUUAUAGAGUCUUUCAUCACACCAAUUUCAUGCUCAUCAAAAGGGCCAGAUUAACAAUGGCAGGAAUUGACGUCUGGUGUUUAUGUACAGAUGAGGCAGAGGCAUUCACAGAGCAUGCUUUUUUGCUAACACCUCUCAACCUGCCGUGAAAAGGCAGCCCUGAGGGUCAGGUUAGUCACUGUUCAUGGGCUCGCAGAAGUUUGCAGCCAAGGUGACAGUAAGUGCAAGAGUAAAUUAGGCAUGAGGCUGUGAGGAGCACUGAGAAAG
ensembl:lncRNA